UUGUUUUGUAGAUGUACACAUGGAAUUGAUAUCUCUUAGAUGGAUUCCUUGUAAACAGUUAUGUGAUAAAAAGAGCAUAUUUGGGGAGUGUUGUGGUCAAAAGCAAGAAAGCAAGUAGAAGCAAAGUAGUCAGCAGAAGUACUUGAAACUUAAGACACGGUAUGAAGCACUACAACGAUCCCAGAAGAAUCUGCUGGGUGAGGAUCUUGGCCCUCUCAACUGCAAGGAGCUUGAGUCGCUAGAAAGGCAGCUCGAUACAUCUCUCAAGAAUAUCAGAUCAGCUCGGUCUAUGUUCAAGACCAAGGUUUUCAUCCUCAUUAACUGUUCAAGACCAAGUUUUUCAUUCUCAUUAACUGUUCAAGACCAACGUUCGGAGAUUCAAGAUCGUUAAACAUGCUAUGAUGAUUUUGGAUUUUUUUUGUUGAGAAAUUUAGACGAUAUAUGAACUAGUUGAAUAUUAAAUUUGGAUGGUUCUUAUAUUUAUUAAAUUGUUUUGAGAUUAUUA